UCGUGCGUUGGCUUAGCGUGAUCGUGCGCCGGCUGUGGUUCGGCUUAUUGGGCUACGGCUGUGACUCUGUCUGGGCUCCCCAAUCUUUCCUUUGAAUAAAACGAGUGGCCGCUUGCAAUUUUCACUUAGUUUGAGUCUGAACGGCGACUGCGCCGGCGUGUCCGUGUGUGUGCGCGUGUGUGUGUGUGUAUGAGAGAGAGUGUGUAUUAGUCUCGUGCAAUUUUGUUCUCACAUUGUUUUUGUUUCACGCCUUUUUUUAUUGUGAGCAGCGCGUGUGGCGCAUGCGUAGCAGCAAUAAUGAUCAUAAAACGACAAUCACAACAACAACAGAAGCUGCAACAACAAUAGAAUUAAUAAAGUGACGAAAACUAAUUCAAUAUUGAAAAUCGACGACCCAAAUCGCCGUUGCUCCCCACAGUAUUUACCUGACAUCAUCAUCAGCAUCAGCAUUAUCAUCAUUAUUACAAUCAGCAAGAACGUCGGCGUUUGCGGUUGACAUCUUUGCGGGCUUCAUUCAGAGGAAAAAAAUUAAAAUAAAUAAAUAA